UACGUAGGGUGCAAGCGUUGUCCGGAAUUAUUGGGCGUAAAGAGCUCGUAGGCGGUCUGUCGCGUCGGCUGUGAAAUCCCGAGGCUCAACCUCGGGUCUGCAGUCGAUACGGGCAAACUAGAGUAUUGCAGGGGAGACUGGAAUUCCUGGUGUAGCGGUGAAAUGCGCAGAUAUCAGGAGGAACACCGGUGGCGAAGACGGGUUGCUGGGCUGACACUGACGCUGAGGCGCGAAAGCCAGGGGAGCAAACGGG
rnacentral:rRNA from 1 species